rnacentral:rRNA from 1 species
UACGUAGGUGGCAAGCGUUGUCCGGAUUUAUUGGGUUUAAAGGGUGCGUAGGCGGCCUUAUAAGUCAGACGUGAAAUCCCUCGGCUUAACCGGGGAACUGCGUCUGAUACUGGAUGGCUUGAGUUUGGGAGAGGGAUGCGGAAUUCCAGGUGUAGCGGUGAAAUGCGUAGAUAUCUGGAGGAACACCGGUGACGAAGGCGGCAUCCUGGACCAACACUGACGCCGAGUGAGCGAAAGCCAGGGGAGCAAACGGG